AAAGAAACCAACAGGGAUGCCCUAGUAACGGCGAGUGAAGCGGCAACAGCUCAAAUUUGAAAUCUGGCCCUCGGGUCCGAGUUGUAAUUUGUAGAGGAUGCUUUUGGUGAGGUGCCUUCCGAGUUCCCUGGAACGGGACGCCAUAGAGGGUGAGAGCCCCGUCUGGUUGGACACCGAACCUCUGUAAAGCUCCUUCGACGAGUCGAGUAGUUUGGGAAUGCUGCUCUAAAUGGGAGGUAUAUGUCUUCUAAAGCUAAAUACCGGCCAGAGACCGAUAGCGCACAAGUAGAGUGAUCGAAAGAUGAAAAGCACUUUGAAAAGAGAGUUAAAAAGUACGUGAAAUUGUUGAAAGGGAAGCGCUUAUGACCAGACUUGGGCUUGGUUGAUCAUCCUGGGUUCUCCCUGGUGCACUCUUCCAGUUCAGGCCAGCAUCAGUUCGCUGCGGGGGAUAAAAGCUUUAGGAAUGUGGCUCCUUCGGGAGUGUUAUAGCCUAUUGCAUAAUACCCUGCUCCGGACUGAGGUUCGCGCAUCUGCAAGGAUGCUGGCGUAAUGGUCAUCAGCGACCCGUCUUGAAACACGGACCAAGGAGUCGUCUUCGUAUGCGAGUGUUCGGGUGUUAAACCCCUACGCGUAAUGAAAGUGAACGCAGGUGAGAGCUUCGGCGCAUCAUCGACCGAUCCUGAUGUUCUCGGAUGGAUUUGAGUAAGAGCAUACGGGGCCGGACCCGAAAGAAGGUGAACUAUGCCUGUAUAGGGUGAAGCCAGAGGAAACUCUGGUGGAGGCUCGCAGCGGUUCUGACGUGCAAAUCGAUCGUCAAAUAUGGGCAUGGGGCGAAAGACUAAUCGAACCUUCUAGUAGCUGGUUUCCGCCGAAGUUUCCCUCAGGA
rnacentral:rRNA from 1 species